rnacentral:rRNA from 1 species
UACGUAGGGUGCGAGCGUUGUCCGGAAUUAUUGGGCGUAAAGAGCUCGUAGGCGGUCUGUCGCGUCGAAUGUGAAAACCCGGGGCUCAACUCCGGGCUUGCAUUCGAUACGGGCAGGCUAGAGUUCGGUAGGGGAGUCUGGAAUUCCUGGUGUAGCGGUGAAAUGCGCAGAUAUCAGGAGGAACACCGAUGGCGAAGGCAGCUCGCUGGGACGGUACUGACGCUGAGGCGCGAAAGCGUGGGGAGCGAACAGG